AUGCCCUCCAGGGUAAGUCCCUGUGAAAGGGGUCCUGUCGCUUUAAAAGGGCUCCCCAGCAAUGGGGAUUCUGGGCCAUUUUUCCCUUCUAUGGCCAGUUUUGGAGGGCGUGUUCCUGUUAGCAAACCUUGGCCCCCCGUAAAUACCCUGCAGCCGCCGCCGGUAAUGACAGGCCGGCGGGGAGCCCGCGGAGCGCGCCGGGGCUCCUGCAGGCGGCGCCGCCGCGGCCCCGGGGCCACGGCCACAGCCAGGCCCGAGCCGGGCCCCGCCGGGAUCGACCUCCGCAGGGCUCGCGCAGGCCCGCGCGCCCGUGAACUUGGCCGGGGGCGCCUUCCCGAACGCGCGCGCCGGGCCGGAGCCUCUCCCAGCCCUGGAUGCCCGAGCCCCCACCCGCUCGGGCCCCCAAGAACAAAGCUCGCCGCCGCCGGGCCUUGGGGCCUCCCGGUGGUCAGGUGUCGGGCGGCCUGUGCUCCGCUGCCCCUGCGCCCCCCAUCGUGCGUCCCCGCCCCGCGGGGGCACCGCGGCCCGCCGUCCCCCACCCCCACCCCCCCGAGGCGCAGGCUCGGGGACUUGAGGGCCUGUCCUGUCUGGGGGGGUCUGGCCUUCCCGGCGCCCCUUCUCCGGGAGGACGAGACGCAGAGAUGCCGCUGGGCCCUCCCCGCCCCCCUUCUCCAGCCUCCGCAACAAUGGAGGGCCGGGCCGCAGAGGCCGGGGCGCCGACCCCCGGCCGCGAGCAGGUGCGCGAGGGGGCCGCAGCCGGGUCCCGCCGCCGCCCCGCCCCGCCGCGCCCCCUCCCCGCGGGCGGCGCCCCCGCCUGCCCGGCGCCCGCGCUCACCUCGUUUCGGGCCGCCGCCGCGUUGCCCCUCUUCUUUCCAAACCAGCCCGGAAAAGCCCCCUGAGUCGAGGCGCCUGCACGGGAAAUUGCAUUUCGGCGGCUUCGGGGCUGGGCGGGGGCCCCCCCAGGCCGCGGGCCGGGGGAGGGGGCCGCGGGGCUCCGGCGCCGGCUCGAACCCGCGGCCGCCGCCUCCCGCCCGCCCGCCCGCCUGUCUGUCUCGGUGA
rnacentral:lncRNA from 1 species